rnacentral:rRNA from 1 species
GACGAACGCUGGCGGCGUGCCUAAUACAUGCAAGUCGAGCGCAGGAAAUCGACGGAACCCUUCGGGGGGAAGUCGACGGAAUGAGCGGCGGACGGGUGAGUAACACGUAAAGAACCUGCCCUCAGGUCUGGGAUAACCACGAGAAAUCGGGGCUAAUACCGGAUGGGUCAUCGGACCGCAUGGUCCGAGGAUGAAAGGCGCUUCGGCGUCGCCUGGGGAUGGCUUUGCGGUGCAUUAGCUAGUUGGUGGGGUAAUGGCCCACCAAGGCGACGAUGCAUAGCCGACCGGAGAGGGGGAUCGGCAACAAUGGGACUGAGACACGGCCCAGACUCCUACGGGAGGCAGCAGUAGGGAAUCUUCCACAAUGGACGAAAGUCUGAUGGAGCAACGCCGCGUGAACGAUGAAGGCCUUCGGGUCGUAAAGUUCUGUUGUAAGGGAAGAACAAGUGCCGCAGGCAAUGGCGGCACCUUGACGGUACCUUGCGAGAAAGCCACGGCUAACUACGUGCCAGCCGCCGCAGUAA